GACGAACGCUGGCGGCGUGCUUAACACAUGCAAGUCGAACGGAAAGGCCUCUUUCGGGGGGUACUCGAGUGGCGAACGGGUGAGUAACACGUGAGUAACCUGCCCUUGACUUUGGGAUAACUUCAGGAAACUGGGGCUAAUACCGGAUAGGAGCUCCUGCUGCAUGGUGGGGGUUGGAAAGUUUCGGCGGUUGGGGAUGGACUCGCGGCUUAUCAGCUUGUUGGUGGGGUAGUGGCUUACCAAGGCUUUGACGGGUAGCCGGCCUGAGAGGGUGACCGGCCACAUUGGGACUGAGAUACGGCCCAGACUCCUACGGGAGGCAGCAGUGGGGAAUAUUGCACAAUGGGUGGAAGCCUGAUGCAGCAACGCCGUGUGCGGUAUGACGGCCUUCGGGUUGUAAACCGCUUUCGCUCAUGACGAAGCUUUGUGUGACGGUAGUGGGUAAAGAAGCACCGGCUAACUACGUG
rnacentral:rRNA from 1 species